AGGGUUCGAUUCUGGCUCAGGAUGAACGCUGGCGGCGUGCUUAACACAUGCAAGUCGAACGAAGCACUUAAGUUUGAUUCUUCGGAUGAAGACUUUUGUGACCGAGUGGCGGACGGGUGAGUAACGCGUGGGUAACCUGCCUCAUACAGGGGGAUAACAGUUAGAAAUGACUGCUAACACCGCAUAAGACCACAGCACCGCAUGGUGCAGGGGUAAAAACUCCGGUGGUAUGAGAUGGACCCGCGUCUGAUUAGUUAGUUGGCAGGGUAACGGCCUACCAAGACGACGAUCAGUAGCCGGCCUGAGAGGGUGGACGGCCACAUUGGGACUGAGACACGGCCCAG
rnacentral:rRNA from 1 species